GUAGUCUCGCACAGAUGCAUAUCAAUAAGCGGAGGAAAAGAAACUAACAAGGAUUCCCUUAGUAACGGCGAGUGAAGCGGGAAGAGCUCAAAUUUGAAAUCUUCAAGGUUUUACCUUGACGAAUUGUAGUUUAAAGAAGUGUUUUCUGUUGAAGUUUUGGUAAAAGUUCUUUGGAAUAGGACAUCAUAGAGGGUGAGAAUCCCGUAUUUGACCAUUAUUUUCAGCUGUGUGAUACACUUUCAAAGAGUCGGAUUGUUUGGGAAUGCAGUCCAAAAUGGGUGGUAAAUUUCAUCUAAAGCUAAAUAUUGGCGAGAGACCGAUAGCGAACAAGUACCGUGAGGGAAAGAUGAAAAGAACUUUGAAAAGAGAGUUAAACAGUACGUGAAAUUGUCAAAAGGGAAGCGUUUGACACCAGUGUUGUUUUCUCGAAAAUCAAUUAAAAAGAGUUAGAUUUUGUUGUGUAUUGACCUUAACAGCUUGCAUUUCAAUUUUCUUGCUUUUUUUAAUGCACUUUUCGUUUAACAAGUCAACAUCAGUUUCUUUUGUUGUAAAAAGGUCAUUGGAAGGUGGCUUUCUUUUCGGAGAAAGUGUUUAUAGCCUUUGACUCCUGCAAUCGGAGAGACUGAGGCUGCAGCGUAGAUCCUUCGGGGUUAGAUACAUUUGUGCUAAGUUAUAGCUUUUUAUAGACAACUUGUUGACUAUGAUUAGUCUUAUAGCUUACUCGCUUAUGCUAUUUUACCUACGCUUAGGAUGUUGAAGAUGUAGCACAUCAU
rnacentral:rRNA from 1 species